UACGUAGGGUGCAAGCGUUGUCCGGAAUUAUUGGGCGUAAAGAGCUCGUAGGCGGUCUGUCGCGUCGGCUGUGAAAUCCCGGAGCUCAACUCCGGGUCUGCAGUCGAUACGGGCAAACUGGAGUACUGCAGGGGAGACUGGAAUUCCUGGUGUAGCGGUGAAAUGCGCAGAUAUCAGGAGGAACACCGGUGGCGAAGGCGGGUCUCUGGGCAUUACCUGACGCUGAAGCGCGAAAGCGUGGGGAGCAAACGGG
rnacentral:rRNA from 1 species